rnacentral:rRNA from 1 species
GCAUGAUGCCUACGGGCCAAAGAGGGGGACCUUCGGGCCUCUCGCGUCAGGAUAUGCCUAGGUGGGAUUAGCUAGUUGGUGAGGUAAGGGCUCACCAAGGCGACGAUCCCUAGCUGGUCUGAGAGGAUGAUCAGCCACACUGGAACUGAGACACGGUCCAGACUCCUACGGGAGGCAGCAGUGGGGAAUAUUGCACAAUGGGCGCAAGCCUGAUGCAGCCAUGCCGCGUGUGUGAAGAAGGCCUUCGGGUUGUAAAGCACUUUCAGUCGUGAGGAAGGUAGUGUAGUUAAUAGCUGCAUUAUUUGACGUUAGCGACAGAAGAAGCACCGGCUAACUCCGUGCCAGCAGCCGCGGUAAUACGGAGGGUGCGAGCGUUAAUCGGAAUUACUGGGCGUAAAGCGCAUGCAGGUGGUUUGUUAAGUCAGAUGUGAAAGCCCGGGGCUCAACCUCGGAAUUGCAUUUGAAACUGGCAGACUAGAGUACUGUAGAGGGGGGUAGAAUUUCAGGUGUAGCGGUGAAAUGCGUAGAGAUCUGAAGGAAUACCGGUGGCGAAGGCGGCCCCCUGGACAGAUACUGACACUCAGAUGCGAAAGCGUGGGGAGCAAACAGGAUUAGAUACCCUGGUAGUCCACGCCGUAAACGAUGUCUACUUGGAGGUUGUGGCCUUGAGCCGUGGCUUUCGGAGCUAACGCGUUAAGUAGACCGCCUGGGGAGUACGGUCGCAAGAUUAAAACUCAAAUGAAUUGACGGGGGCCCGCACAAGCGGUGGAGCAUGUGGUUUAAUUCGAUGCAACGCGAAGAACCUUACCUACUCUUGACAUCCAGAGAACUUUCCAGAGAUGGAUUGGUGCCUUCGGGAACUCUGAGACAGGUGCUGCAUGGCUGUCGUCAGCUCGUGUUGUGAAAUGUUGGGUUAAGUCCCGCAACGAGCGCAACCCUUAUCCUUGUUUGCCAGCGAGUAAUGUCGGGAACUCCAGGGAGACUGCCGGUGAUAAACCGGAGGAAGGUGGGGACGACGUCAAGUCAUCAUGGCCCUUACGAGUAGGGCUACACACGUGCUACAAUGGCGCAUACAGAGGGCGGCCAACUUGCGAAAGUGAGCGAAUCCCAAAAAGUGCGUCGUAGUCCGGAUUGGAGUCUGCAACUCGACUCCAUGAAGUCGGAAUCGCUAGUAAUCGUGGAUCAGAAUGCCACGGUGAAUACGUUCCCGGGCCUUGUACACACCGCCCGUCACACCAUGGGAGUGGGCUGCAAAAGAAGUAGGUAGUUUAACCUUCGGGGGGACGCUUACCACUUUGUGGUUCAUGACUGGGGUGAAGUCGUAACAAGGUAGCGCUAGGGGAACCUGGCGCUGGAUCACCUCCUUAAACGAUGAU